rnacentral:rRNA from 1 species
AGAGUUUGAUCCUGGCUCAGAUUGAACGCUGGCGGCAUGCUUUACACAUGCAAGUCGAACGGCAGCACGGGCGCAAGCCUGGUGGCGAGUGGCGAACGGGUGAGUAACGCGUCGGAACGAAACACGCAGAGGGGGAUAACGCCGCGAAAGCGGUGCUAAUACCGCAUAUAACUCUGAGGAGGAAAGCUGGGGACUGGAGACAGCCUGGCGCUGAGUGAUCGGCUGACGUCUGAUUAGCUAGUUGGGGAGGUAAAGGCUUCCCAAGGCGACGAUCAGUAGCGGGUCUGAGAGGAUGGUCCGCCACACUGGGACUGAGAGACGGCCCAGACUCCUACGGGAGGCAGCAGUGGGGAAUUUUGGACAAUGGGCGCAAGCCUGAUCCAGCCAUGCCGCGUGUCUGAAGAAGGCCUUCGGGUUGUAAAGGACUUUUGUCCAGGAGCAAGACUUAGAGAUGAAUAGUUUCUAGGGGUGAGAGUACUGGAAGAAUAAGCACCGGCUAACUACGUGCCAGCAGCCGCGGUAAUACGUAGGGUGCGAGCGUUAAUCGGAAUGACUGGGCGUAAAGAGUGCGUAGGCGGUUACGCGAGCUUGAUGUGAAAUCCCCGGGCUUAACCUGGGAAUGGCAUGGAGGACAGCGUAGCUAGAGUCUGUCAGAGGUGGGUAGAAUUCCCUGUGUAGCAGUGAAAUGCGUAGAGAUGGGGAGGAAUACCGAUGGCGAAGGCAGCCUGCUGGGAUAAGACUGACGCUGAGGCACGAAGGCGUGGGGAGCAAACAGGAUUAGAUACCCUGGUAGUCCACGCGGUAAACGAUGUCAACUAGCUGUUGGGGGUUUGAAUCCUUGGUAGCGAAGCAAACGCGAGAAGUUGACCGCCUGGGGAGUACGGCCGCAAGGCUAAAACUCAAAGGAAUUGACGGG